UCCGAUAUGGUGUAGUGGCUAACAUUAUCGCCUCUCACGCGAUAGCCCGGGGGUUCGAUUCCCCGUGUCGGAA
rnacentral:tRNA from 1 species